UCAAUAAUACUUUCUCUCUGUACCCCAUUUCCCAAAUCCACAUCUGCAUACUUUGAAACUGAGCUCUUUUGAUUAUCUCCAGCAAACCCAACGAUAAGAAGAAAUAGCUUUGUGGUGCUUUUUCCAACCAGCUCUCACAGAGCUUCUUCUCUUUUUCCUCAAAAACAAGCUUUAAUGGCGCUCAUAGAGAGAGAGCGAGAAUUUUGGUGCUAACUGAUGGAGGGCGAAAGUUCAGGAUUGAAGAGAGGGUGAGAGUUUUGGCGCCCGCACACAGGGGAGGAAAGUU
rnacentral:lncRNA from 1 species